AUGGUGGCUCUACGGUGCGGUGGAAGCGCCGCCGCACACAUGUCGGCGCAUACAAUAACGGCUCCUCGGAGCGGAGAUGGUCGCAGCGCCAUCCUUCCCAUGCGUGCCGGGAUCAGGGAGCUUCCCCUGAGGGCUUCCUUGUCACCGUCCUCGGUGUCUCCACGGACAGUGCGCUGCUCCGUUUUUCGUCGUCGUCGCACGGGGGGACAUUGCUUCCAGAAUAGGGGAAUGACUGAGGGAUGGGAGGCGCUGAAGGCGGCGACGGCCGACAUGUUCCGCCCCCUGCUCCUCAACAUUUCCGACAUGCGCUCUCUCAACACAGUUUACGACCUCGAAGACUACCAGAUUGGCAUGCUCUUUGGUGUUUUUGCUGGACUCGUUGGUGUUUACCAACUGUGGAGGGCAGCCCCUCCCAUCUUCGUUGAUGCUGCUCUUGGCUACAUCAUAUAUAAGCUCAGUGUCAUAUCAUCGGAACUGCAUCGGCUGCGCAAAUCCAACAGUUUAAUUAACCGACUGAAAUUUGGGUUCUUGCUUUUCAUGGCCCUUAAGGAUUUCAAGAAUAAAUAUGUACUUCUUGAUAUUAUCAGGUUGCCACUUUUCUUUCUGAACGUUGGUACAUUCAUGUUCGACGUGGCGGGAUUGAAGAAGUAUGGAAGGCGAGUUCUGAUUUCUUUUGUUAAUCUAUUGAAAAUGAGAGGCGGAAUAAAAGAAAUAUUCAGGAUUGUGUGGUAUCCUGGCUACGUUUCUCCAUAUGAUGAUUCUUUUGGCCGGAGAUGA
rnacentral:rRNA from 1 species